rnacentral:rRNA from 1 species
CACGUAGGGGGCAAGCGUUGUCCGGAUUCAUUGGGCGUAAAGAGCUCGUAGGCGGUUCGAUAAGUCGGGUGUGAAACCUCCAGGCUCAACCUGGAGACGCCACCCGAUACUGUCGUGACUAGAGUCCAGUAGGGGAGCGUGGAAUUCCUGGUGUAGCGGUGAAAUGCGCAGAUAUCAGGAGGAACACCAGCGGCGAAGGCGGCGCUCUGGGCCGGAACUGACGCUGAGGAGCGAAAGCGUGGGGAGCGAACAGG